UGGGGAAUUUUGGACAAUGGGCGAAAGCCUGAUCCAGCAAUGCCGCGUGUGUGAAGAAGGCCUUCGGGUUGUAAAGCACUUUUGUCCGGAAAGAAAAUCCUUGGCUCUAAUACAGUCGGGGGAUGACGGUACCGGAAGAAUAAGCACCGGCUAACUACGUGCCAGCAGCCGCGGUAAUACGUAGGGUGCAAGCGUUAAUUGGAAUUACUGGGCGUAAAGCGUGCGCAGGCGGUUUGCUAAGACCGAUGUGAAAAUCCCCGGGCUCAACCUGGGAACUGCAUUGGCGACUGGCAGGCUAGAGUAUGGCAGAGGGGGGUAGAAUUCCACGUGUAGCAGUGAAAUGCGUAGAGAUGUGGAGGAAUACCGAUGGCGAAGGCAGCCCCCUGGGCCAAUACUGACGCUCAUGCACGAAAAGCGUGGGGGAGCAAAACAGGAUUAGAUACCCUGGUAGUCCACGCCCUAAAACGAUGUCAACUAGUUGUUGGGGAUUCAUUUCCUUAGUAACGUAGCU
rnacentral:rRNA from 1 species